ensembl:lncRNA
CAUCGCUUCAGGAAAAGGAACAUGAGAUCACUCAGUCAUCGUUUUGAGGAUAAAAUGAUUUUCUUCUAGAACUGAUUGAGAGCCAGCAAAACAUACAAGAGACGAUGUAUGUGAGUCAGCCCCUGAAGCCAUAAGUCAGCAUACUCUAUGAGGUCUACCCUUCAUCCUGUUUACUACAGUAAUCCCAGCAUGUGAUAAAUACCUGUUGACACAAUAGAUAUCUACUGAAUGAGUGAAUGAACUGACGGUUACAGACCUAGAAAUACACAGAAUGCUUCUGGAAAUGUAUAGAAUUUUUCUUAGCUGAUCACCUAGAGGCAAAACUGAACUCAGUGAGAAGAGAUAACCUGAGAGAAUCUGUCUAACCAUCAGAGUUGUCCAACAGCAGAAUGUAAAUUUUUUUGAAGAAAAUUAUCUUCAGGUCACUACAGGGUUUUCAUGAAACAGUAUGUAGUACAAAUGAAACGUCAGUCCCACAGGAGAUACCUUCCUGAACAUUGAAGUAUGUUUUCUAACUAAUAUUUUUAUAUUGCUAUGUUUCUUCUACUUUUUGAAUUGAUUCCUUUUAAAUAUAAAUUCCCUUCUUUCUCC